rnacentral:pre_miRNA from 1 species
CGAUGUGGCGCUCCACGUAGGCAACAAUUUUGCAUCCGGCCCCCUUUUGCAGGACAGCGUGGUGGUAAUAUUGUACUUAGCCCCUUUGAGCCACAGUACCACCCCGAAACUCCCCGAAAUCCCCAAAUCCCUCCUCCCUCACAGGAGCUCAAAGGAGCUAAGUGCAAUUUUUGGAUGAGGCUGGACGCAAAAUAGUUGCCUACAUGGAGCGCCACGUCG